GAAAUGCGGUAAGUAAUGUGAAUUGCAGAAUUCAGUGAAUCAUCGAAUCUUUGAAGGCACCUUGCGCUCCUUGGUAUUCCUUGGAGCAUGCCUGUUUGAGUAUCAUGAAAUCUUCAAAGUAAAUCUUUUGUUAACUCAAUUGGUUUCUACUUUGGUAUUGGAGGUCUUUGCAGCUUCACACCUGCUCCUCUUUGUUCAUUAGCUGGAUCUCAGUGUUAUGCUUGGUUCCACUCGGCGUGAUAAGUUAUCUAUCGCUGAGGACACUGUAAAAGGUGGCCAAGGUAAAUGCAGAUGAACCGCUUCUAAUAGUCCAUUGACUUGGACAAUACUUUUAUGAUCUGAUCUCAAAUCAGGUAGGACUACCCGCUGAACUUAAGC
rnacentral:misc_RNA from 1 species